rnacentral:rRNA from 1 species
CAGCCGCCGCGGUAAUACAGAGGGUGCAAGCGUUAAUCGGAAUUACUGGGCGUAAAGCGCGCGUAGGUGGUUUGUUAAGUUGGAUGUGAAAGCCCCGGGCUCAACCUGGGAACUGCAUCCAAAACUGGCAAGCUAGAGUACGGUAGAGGGUGGUGGAAUUUCCUGUGUAGCGGUGAAAUGCGUAGAUAUAGGAAGGAACACCAGUGGCGAAGGCGACCACCUGGACUGAUACUGACACUGAGGUGCGAAAGCGUGGGGAGCAAACAGGAUUAGAUACCCCGGUAGUCCCUGUCUCUUAUAA